GCUGUAGUUCACUGGUAGCACAUCUGCCUUGCAUGCAGAAGGUCCCAAGUUCAACCCCCAAUGGCAUCUCCA